rnacentral:rRNA from 1 species
UACGAAGGGGGCUAGCGUUGUUCGGAAUUACUGGGCGUAAAGCGCACGUAGGCGGAUCGAUCAGUCAGGGGUGAAAUCCCAGGGCUCAACCCUGGAACUGCCUUUGAUACUGUCGAUCUGGAGUAUGGAAGAGGUGAGUGGAAUUCCGAGUGUAGAGGUGAAAUUCGUAGAUAUUCGCAAGAACACCAGUGGCGAAGGCGGCUGACUGGUCCGGUUCUGACGCUGAGGCGCGAAAGCGUGGGGAGCAAACAGG